UGGGGAAUAUUGCACAAUGGGCGCAAGCCUGAUGCAGCCAUGCCGCGUGUGUGAAGAAGGCCUUCGGGUUGUAAAGCACUUUCAGCGAGGAGGAAGGUGGUGAACUUAAUACGUUCAUCAAUUGACGUUACUCGCAGAAGAAGCACCGGCUAACUCCGUGCCAGCAGCCGCGGUAAUACGGAGGGUGCAAGCGUUAAUCGGAAUUACUGGGCGUAAAGCGCACGCAGGCGGUUUGUUAAGUCAGAUGUGAAAUCCCCCGGGCUCAACCUGGGAACUGCAUUUGAAACUGGCAAGCUAGAGUCUCGUAGAGGGGGGUAGAAUUCCAGGUGUAGCGGUGAAAUGCGUAGAGAUCUGGAGGAAUACCGGUGGCGAAGGCGGCCCCCCUGGANGAAGACUGACGCUCAGGUGCGAAAAGCGUGGGGAGCAAACAGAUUAGNUACCCUGGUAGUCCACGCUGUAAACGAUGUCGAUUUUGGAGGUUGUCCCCUNAGGCGUGGCUUUCCGGGAGCUAACCNCGUUAAAUCGACCNCCCUGGGGGAGUNGGCC
rnacentral:rRNA from 1 species